rnacentral:ncRNA from 2 species
AAUUAUCUUCAGGGCAGGGUGUGAAUCCCUACCGGCGGUAAAGCCCGCGAGCCGUAAGGCAUGAUUCGGUGAAAUUCCGAGGCCGACAGUAAAGUCUGGAUGAAAGAAGAUAGGC